rnacentral:rRNA from 1 species
AUGGUCCUAGUGGACAAGCCGCCGUCCUAUGGAGGUGUGCACAACAUCGGAGAUGGCGCCUCGUGGAAGACAUGCUACCACGAGGAGCCAGAGGAAAGAAGGAAGAGACGGUUGGUCAUCACUCAGCAGAGCAUCGAUGAGAAGGUCGCGAUUGCGGUCAAUAAGACCAAAGUUGAGACCAAACAAGAGUUGCUCGGGGUAGUCAAUGCAGCGGUCACUGACGUGGUGGUCAGCUUGAUUCCGGCAAUUUUCGAUUGGUCAAAGAGCAAUCCAAGUACACGGCCGAAGGACUUUCCCCUUCCAAGCUUUGUCGGGAGAAAUUCGGCAAACACCACAGCACUAACACCUGCCCAAGCAACCGCAAAAGGUCCCGUUCCUAUUCAUAGAACCCAACCUCCGUCUCUACCAUGCUCGGCGGGCCUUCAUCGCUGGCUAAGCUCGACGCCCUCAUGGUCGACGGCACCCCGCGCACCCUACUCUAUGACUUCAAGGGCCAGAAGGUGGCCUUGGGAAAGGCAACGAUCGUGA